UGGGGUUACCGAUUGGAAAUGCUGUAGUCUGCUUAUAGUAAAUGCCUUUAAAUUUAAAGUAAGAUCUGUGGCAUAUUAGAUGAGCAAGGUCUCCUAAGAGCAGUGCUACAUUAUCUGCAUCUUCGUUUUCCAGGAGGAACUUGUAGAAAGAAACAUAUUGGUUCUAGCUUUAAGGAGGGAUAUAAACUCUCAUGUUGUUAUAGUGGCAUGAUGCUAUCAGUUUAGUAGGUGUAGUUUCCUUAAAGCAUCUGUCAUUGAGGUGGUAGAAAAAGACUUCCUUCCAUAUGUGGUAGGAUGGUUUGUGCAUCAUUUUGCCAUUAUGUUGUUUUAGGCCAUAGGUGGGUGCAUUCCUUAUCUCGACUAUAAGCCUGGGGCUAACUGGGUCUUUGUGAGUUUUUAUAUAUAUGAACAGCCUUGGGCAUGUUGGAUCUGUUAUUUUCUUGUACUUCCAAAAUUUCAGGACGAUGUCUUGGUUGGUUAUUCUGUCAACUGCUGCUUUCAGUUUAAAGGUUGAGUCUUUGGUUGUGACUUUUCAAUGUACUCAUCUAGGAAGUCGCAGUAUUUUUUUUGUUUCAGUGAGGACCAUUUUCUUUUUCUUAUCCUCCCUAGUGAUUGUAAGAUUGUUCUCCUUUAGCCAGUGCACCAUUUUCUUAAGUAGAUAAUUGUCAUGGCAGCCUUUGUUCCUUUGUUUGUGUGGGUUGUGGGUAUAUUAGGGAAAUACCUGUGGUUGUUUCCGUAAUGUAUGACCAUCUAACUGCAUGUUUCUGUAAGUCAUGGUAUUCGAGACUUACAGAAACAUGCACUUAGUUGUAAGGACUCCACUAUAGGUAUUUUGUCGAGUGGCUCGGUGUUCUUUUGGAGGGCGCAUGAUGCCCCUUUCCUUAUUAAAUUCUAUGGCAUACAGCAGGCAUGUCAAACUCAUUUUAAUUCAAGGGCCAUUUAAUAAGCUUAUAAGUUUGCCUUGGU
rnacentral:lncRNA from 1 species